rnacentral:rRNA from 1 species
CGGGUGAGUAACACGUAUCCAACCUGCUGUCUACUCUUGGACAGCCUUCUGAAAGGAAGAUUAAUACAAGAUGGCAUCAUGAGUCCGCAUGUUCACAUGAUUAAAGGUAUUCCGGUAGACGAUGGGGAUGCGUUCCAUUAGAUAGUAGGCGGGGUAACGGCCCACCCAGUCUUCGAUGGAUAGGGGUUCUGAGAGGAAGGUCCCCCACAUUGGAACUGAGACACGGUCCAA